rnacentral:lncRNA from 10 species
UUGGCUGCAAGUCCAACAGUGCUAAGCAUGGCACUAAAUAGCACCAUCUAAGAAGGUAAUAGAGCCCUGACCCUACUGAACUGAUAAGUUCUCUUAGAUACUGAUGGGUCUCUCAGCCAGUGGAGUAGGGCAGCAGACAAUCAUACACUAUCACAACAAUUAAUUCAUUCUUCAGAAAUCAUCAAAAUCAAUAAUCAUUUAUAGAUGACAGAUUCUAAGUGAUAACUCUUCUUGAAAACCAAUCAUUUUUAGAACAGUCAACAAGGUAGAAAAAUCAAAGGUUUUAGUAGUACAUCUCCACUUGCAGUGGAGAAGUAUAUGGUGAAGUAUGGUGACACAGUGGAAAUAGGGCGCUAAUUCGGGAAUUUGGGGUAGCAGUAGCCAGAACCUCAGAAUGAAUCAUUGGAAUCAGUGUUUCUGGGGGAAGACAUAAAUUGGAAGAAUGAAAAAUUCAAGAUUUUAUGUUUAUAAGGGAGGCUAAUUAGUAGUUUGCUAAAAUGUUCUUCAUAAAGUACCCAGCUCAGAAUCAAAAGAGACCCAUAGCCCUCAUUUACCUACAUGUACUGGAGGCUACUGAUACCUACAAAAAGAAGCUAAUAAUUGAGAAGGGUCAAAGUGGAUCAGAUCAGUUUGCACAAGACUCAGGCAAAAUGAGGAAAAAGAAGUAUCUACUGAAUUUGGCAACAUGUAAGUCACAGAUGACCUGAUAACAGUAGUUUCAGUGAUGUGAUGAGGGUGGAAGCCCGGAGUAGGUGGAACAGUGUGGGGUUAACAAUUCUUUCAAUAAGUUUUUCUAUAAAGGGAAGCAAAGAAAUGAGAUGUUCCUGGAAGGGUAUCUAAGGACAACUGAGGUUUAUUUAUUUUUAAAAAUAAAGAUGGGAUCUUGCUGUGUUGGCCAGGCUGGUCUUGAACUCCUGAGCUCAAGUAUCUUCCCUUCUCCCUCCUUGUUGAUGGCCUCCCAAAGGGAACUGAGGAUCUUUUUUUUUUUUUUUUUUUUUUUUGAUACGAAGUCUCACUCUGUCGCCCAGGCUGGAGUGCAGUGGCACGAUCUCAGCUCACUGCAGCCUCUGCCUCACAGGUUCAAGCAAUUCUACUGCCUCAGCCUCCCGAGUAGCUGGCAUUACAGGUGCCUGCCACCACACCUGGCUAAUUUUUGUAUUUUAUUUCAGGCUAGGCUGGUCUUGAACUCCUGACCUCAAGUGAUCUGCCUGCUUCGGCCUCCCAAAGUACUGGGAUUGCAGGUGUGAGCCACCGCGCCCAGCUGGAACGGAGGAUCUUUUCACCAAUAGGGUUUUUUAAAGGAUGAUAGUUUAAGGCCAGGCAUGGUGAUGUGCACCUGUAAUCCCAGCACUUUGGAAGGCCAAGGCGGGUGGAUCACCUGAGGUCAGGAGUUCAAGACCAGCCUAACAAAUAUGGGGAAACCCUCUACUCUACUAAAAAUACAAAAAUACAAAAACUUAGCCAGAUGUGGUGGCAUGUGCUGUAGUCUCAACUACUCAGGAGGCUGACGCAGGAGAAUCUCUUGAAUCCUG